GGUUUAUGAGGGGUUUUUUGCCCCUUUUUCUCAAGCGUAUUCGCAAAGAAAAGGAUGAUUCUCUUCUUAACCUUUGUUACAGGAUCCUUCCUGUGAAUCAUAGAUAGCUUCAUUUCCAAAAAUUUCUCUGCCAUUCGUCCAUGGAGCUUCUCACUUCCCCUUUCUUAAACCGCCCUCAGUUUCUGUCUAGGGUUUCGUUUUCUUCUUCCAGAACUGCAAAUAAGAAGAAUUCAUUCGAAUUCAACAUACCCCACUUCAAAUCUCCUCUGUGUUUCCCAUUUUUCUCUAAUUCACCCUUCUCUAACGCAAAGAAAUUGGAAAUUUCCGCUCAUUUCCGCCGGCCUUCCAAUCGUCGAAACUCGCUUAGGAAAAAGCUCGUUGGUGAUCAACAGGUGCGUCACAAUCCAAUUUCAAAUAACCCACAUUCUGAUUUUCAAAACCCAAGUAGUAGUUUAAAUGAUACAGAAAGUUUUCGAGAAAAUUUGAAUUAUGACAGUGUAAAUGAGAAUCACACUGCGGAAGAAUCGAAAUCCAAAGUUCUGGGUGAAUCUGUUUUGUUGAAUGAGCUGGAGAAUUGGGUUGAUCAGUACAGGAAAGAUGCUGAGUACUGGGGUAUUGGGUCGGGUCCCAUUUUUACAAUUAUCGAGGAUUCAGAUGGUAAUGUUGAAAGGGUUGUUGUUGGUGAGAAUGAGAUUCUAAGAAGAAGUGGCCAUGGAGAACUUGAGGAUUUAUCACAAGUGAAUUUGAAAAUUUCGUAUGCAAAGUCUUUGGCUAGAGAGAUGGAGAGUGGGAAAAAUGUGAUUCCAAGGAACAGUUCGAUAGCUAAGUUUGUAGUUUCAGGUGAAAAAUCGGGUAUUGUGAAUGUAAUUCGGAAUGUUACUCUUCCACCGGAAUUGUCCAAGAAGUUAUCGAGAGUUGGGUUUUCAGUGUUAUGCGGAUUUGUUGUUGUUUGGGCAGUGAAAAAAUUAUUCACUACUGGAAAUAGGAAGGUGGAAUUCACAAGUCUGGAGAAGGAAAUGAUGAGGAGAAAGAUCAAGUCCAGAAUGGGGAAAGAAGAGGUGGAAGAGGUUAGUGUAGAAGUCGUUCAACCUUCCCCUGAGCUGCCUAUGGUGUCCACUGAAAGGCCUAAGCUUGAUCAGCAAGAACUCAUGAGUAGCAUUUUGAGAAUGAAAGAUGACUUGGCAUCAAAGGAUUUUGAUGGUAAAAUUCAGGAAAUCAGAGAAAUGGCCAGGCGAGCCCGGGAAAUCGAGGGACAAGAUCCUUCACUUGUUGAUGGAGAUGGAGAGGAAAAUCAGAUAGUGAUUGAGGAAUUGUCUGAUGAGGCUGAAGUGAUCAAACAGCAUACAGAAGAAGAUGCGAGUUUUCUAAACAAUCUUUCAAAAGGAGCUCCCAUGCAAGCAAUGGGCAUUAAUGGAACUGUAAAGCCAUCAUCUCUAGGCGAAAAGGAAAGAGAUGAUCUUGGAUUAUCUAGUGAACCUUCUCCAAAGAAUAAGGAUUUGCAAACUUUAACUGCUUUAAGUGGUCCAUAUGACAGGCAAAGCACUACACAGGAUCUAGAAGAUAGUGAAAAUACUUCUGACUCUCUGGACGCAAUAGAAGCAAUCCAGUCCACUGAUAGUCAUUACGGUCAAACAAGCAUGCCAAAGAAAGGUUCUACCAGUAAAAUACCAAGGGUCAUAAUGUCUGUGAAGGAAGCUAGGGAUUACCUCUCUAAGAAGCAAGACAAACAAGAGCUCCAAGUUAGAGUCGCACAAGAAAGCCAUGAUGAUUUAAGGCUAUUGAAUGGUAAAACAUCGGUCAAUAAUUCAAGGUAUGGAUUGGACAUGAACGAUAAUGUGUUUGAACAUUCCAUUGUAUGUGGAACAUCAGAUUUCACACCUGCUGCCAAUGCUAGUGAUGAAGGUAAUACUGAUUUAGAGCUAUCUAUUGAUAAAGCAUUGAUGAGCGAUACAAGCCAUGGACUGGAUAAUGAUGAUAAUGACCCUGAAGAUGCUGAGGAAGAAGUCGGAGUGCUUAAUCUUCAAGCAUCGAGAGGUUCCAUGGAUCAUGAAGGCGAUGACAGCUUUCCAGAGACAGGACCAUCUGUGAUUAAGGAGAACUGGAUGGAGAAAAAUUUUCACCAAUUGGAGCCAGUGGUUAAGAAGAUUGGAACAGGCUUUAGAGAAAAUUACAUGGUUGCUAGGGAGAAAGUAAAUCAAGAGUUAAAUAUGAGUUUGGAGGUGCCAGAGCUUGAGUCUGGUGAAGACCACAGCGAACUUGAGUGGAUGAAAGAUGAUAAUCUUAGAGAAAUUGUUUUUCAAGUUCAGGAAAAUGAGUUAGCAGGGCUUGAUCCAUUUUAUUCAAUGGAUGAUGAAGAUAAAGCCGCAUUCUUCAAGGGUCUUGAGAGGAAAGUCGAGAAGGAGAAUGAGAAGCUGUUGAAUUUGCAUGGGUGGAUCCAUUCAAACGUCGAAAACAUUGAUUAUGGAACAGAUGGUAUUAGUUUGUAUGAUCCACCAGAUAAAAUUAUACCACGCUGGAAAGGUCCACCCAUAGAGAAAGACCCUGAGUUCCUCAAUAAUUUUGUGGAGCAAAGGAAGGUGUUUUUUGCUGAAAAUGCAGGAAGCCAUUACCCUAUGAAGAAUGAUGAACAAGUUUCUCUUCAAGAAUCAAAAGAAUCUCUCCCACAUGAAAGCCCUUCCACUUCCAGUGCAGUCUUUGAUCCAAAGAAGAAAUUUCAUGAUGGGGCCUCAAAAAGAUCGAAGACAAUUAUAGAGAGUAGUGACGGUUCCAUUAAAGCUAGCAAAAAAUCAGGAAAGGAGUACUGGCAACACACAAAGAAAUGGUCUCAUGGGUUUUUGGAAUCAUAUAAUGCAGAGACAGACCCAGAAGUUAAAUCUGCCAUGAAGGAUAUAGGGAAGGACCUAGAUCGAUGGAUCACUGAUAAAGAAAUACAGGAAUCAGCUGAUCUGAUUACCAAAAUGCGUGAAAGAAAUAAAAAGUUCAUGGAAAAGAGGCUUGAGAAGCUCAAAAGAGAGAUGGAAUUGUUUGGACCACAAGCUGUAGUUAGCAAGUACCGCGAGUUUGGAGACGAGAAGGAAGAGGAUUACCUAUGGUGGUUAGAUGUUCCCUUUGUACUGUGCAUUGAACUAUACACAACUGAAAAUGAGGAACAUAAAGUAGGGUUUUAUUCAUUGGAGAUGGCUGCAGACCUUGAAUUGGAACCAAAGCAGUAUCAUGUGAUUGCUUUUGAAGACCCUGGCGAUUGCAAGAAUCUUUGCUAUAUCAUACAAGCUCAUAUGGAUAUGCUUGGAAAUGGCCAUGCCUUUGUUGUCGCAAGACCGCCCAAGGAUGCUUUUCGGGAAGCCAAAGGAAAUGGUUUCAGUGUAACUGUGAUUAGAAAAGGGCAGCUACAGCUCAAUGUGGACCAAACACUGGAAGAGGUGGAGGAACAAAUCAUCGAGAUUGGAAGCAAAAUAUACCAUGAUAAGAUCACGCAAGAACGCUCUGUAGAUAUAAGCGCAUUGAUGAAGGGGGUGUUUGGUCCCAUCAACCCAACCAAGCCUUCUAAGAGAAGAAGAUUGAAGCGGAGACGGAAGAAGCCUACCAAAUGAGGAAGGAUGCUCCUACCUUAGAGCAUUACCAGGAGAGACAAUGAUGGACCCCUUCCAUUAUAGGCACGGUCUUACUUCCAAUAAAAUUUUAAUCAUGUUCCCAACAAGAUCGGGAGCCAGAAACCACCACCCUCUUGAAUGUUUGCCCUAAAUCUUUGAGGAGGCUAGAUGCCAACAACUCAGAAAGAUUUUGAUUUUGUGUAGGCGUCUUGCCCCCCCGGACCUUAAAAGAGAGCUUUAACGGGGUGUCCCUGUUUGCAGUCCCGCACAAAUCAUGCAGUUGGCUCAGUUGUAUGUCCUCACCGGUUUUGCUGGCUCCUCCGGGCAUGCAAGAGCAGAAGACCAAGAAAUGAAGUUUAUCUCAUCAAAUUCAUAGAGUCCUUGUCCUGUUCCACCUGCGAAGUUUUAUUUGUGGGUGUACAGAAUUCCCAAUGCUUCCCUCGUGAUGCCAAGAUAAUUUUAGAAAGUAGGAUUUGAGCAAAAUGCCUGAUACGUUGAGGGUUAUAUUACAAAUUUAUUUCAAUUCCUAAGUAGGAUUGUCCAAUUGCUCGGUAUUAUAAUAAAAUUGGAGUCCUAACUA